AGAGUUUGAUCAUGGCUCAGGAUGAACGCUAGCGGCAGGCCUAAUACAUGCAAGUCGGACGGGAUUUCGGUGUAGCUUGCUAUACCGGAUGAGAGUGGCGCACGGGUGCGUAACGCGUGAGCAACCUGCCCAUGUCAGGGGGAUAGCCCGUUGAAAGACGGAUUAAUACCGCAUAACACAUAAGUACCGCAUGGUUCUUAUGUCAAAUAUUUAUAGGACAUGGAUGGGCUCGCGUGGCAUUAGCUUGUUGGUAAGGUAACGGCUUACCAAGGCAAUGAUGCCUAGGGGCUCUGAGAGGAGUGACCCCCACACUGGUACUGAGACACGGACCAGACUCCUACGGGAGGCAGCAGUAGGGAAUAUUGGUCAAUGGGCGGGAGCCUGAACCAGCCAUGCCGCGUGCGGGAAGAAGGCCCUAUGGGUCGUAAACCGCUUUUAUACGGGAACAACCGCAGCUACGUGUAGCUGUCUGAGUGUACCGUAGGAAUAAGGAUCGGCUAACUCCGUGCCAGCAGCCGCGGUAAUAC
rnacentral:rRNA from 1 species